AGAGUUUGAUCAUGGCUCAGGAUGAACGCUAGCGGCAGGCUUAAUACAUGCAAGUCGAGGGGUAAGAGUCAGCUUGCUGACUACACGACCGGCGCACGGGUGCGUAACGCGUAUGCAACCUACCUUUAACAGAGGAAUAGCCCCGAGAAAUCGGGAUUAAUACCACAUAACAUUAUGAUAUGGCAUCAUAUUAUAAUUAAAACUCCGGUGGUUAAAGAUGGGCAUGCGUGACAUUAGCUAGUUGGUGAGGUAACUGCUCACCAAGGCUACGAUGUCUAGGGGUUCUGAGAGGAUGAUCCCCCACACUGGUACUGAGACACGGACCAGACUCCUACGGGAGGCAGCAGUAAGGAAUAUUGCGCAAUGGAGGCAACUCUGACGCAGCCAUGCCGCGUGCAGGAUUGAAGGCCUUAUGGGUCGUAAACUGCUUUUAUUUAGGAAUAAACUUUCUACGUGUACGAAACUGAAGGUACUAAACGAAUAAGCACCGGCUAACUCCGUGCCAGCAGCCGCGGUAAUACGGAGGGUGCAAGCGUUAUCCGGAUUUAUUGGGUUUAAAGGGUGCGCAGGCGGACCAAUUACUCAGUGGUGAAAUCCCCGAGGCUCAACCCUCGGAACUGCCAUUGAUACUGUUGGGUC
rnacentral:rRNA from 1 species